UGCACCUGAACUUCCAGGCCCAGCGCCCCGCCCCCACCUCACCACUUGCCUGGAAUCACCCCACAAAGAGGGCCCCCCUUCCCCAGCCAGCCAGGGGCCUGGUGGGGACACAUCCUGCCCAGACGUUCUGGCCUUGGGGCCCUCGGGGGCUAUGGGUCACCCAUGGGAGGGGCUUUGUGGGAAGACCCGCCGCGGUCAUGGGAGAAUCCCGCCAGGCCCUCAGCCCGCCCGCUCCCUGGCACUGGGCCCCUCACAGAGGGUUGGGCACCAUUCUGGGCACACAUGGUGCCCUGGGAGGCACGCAGAAUGUAAGGGGAAGCCCGGAGGGCCCCUGGCCCUCAGGAGGGGUCAGCCUGCCUGCCAGCGGAUGGUGAGCUCCCCGUCACAGUCCUGGGGCCCACAAGGUGCCUGGCUCCCCACCCGACCCCUGGGACGCUCUGUAAUUCUGCCAGUUUCCUUGGACUGACUGCGCGCUGUCAUGGGAGGAGGGGUCGGGGGCAGGGCCUGGGGCCGGGCGGAGAAGGUACGGCUCCCAGGCUGGGGCUGCAGUGUGGUGGGCAAGGGGAGGGUCCCCCAGAAGCCCGGGGGGGCGGGGGUCGCAGACCGCGCUGGCCCGUGAGCAGCACAGCCUCUGGGACUCUGCUUCCCUGUGUGUAUGGGGGGUGCUCUGGCAGACCGCAGCCAGCCAGCUGGCACAGAGGUGUGGGUGGGGCCGCGGCCCGGAUGCCAGGGCACCUGAGACCUGCCUUCUCGCCCCACUCCGGGGCGGGGCGAAGCUCCCAGCUUUGGGCUGGAGGCGGCCGCGGCAGCUCGCACCGGUCAGCGCCCCCCCGGCCUGUGAGUCUCUGCCGGAUUUCCUGUGGUGGAGGGAGAGUCGUGGGCCUGGUUCUCUCCUUCCGGGGCCAGCAGCAGGAGCCCUUGGGACCCCGGGCCUCUCCCUCUGCCGCUGGCCCAGUCCUGACUCUGGGGAGGAGCAGGUCCCAGGGAGAUGGGCAGCCUGCCAGGGGGCAGGCCCGGGGCCCACGGGAUCGGAGAGCCCAGUGGGCACUGCCAAGGUCUGACUCGGACUCUGCAGCCUUCAGAACCACGAGGACUCUGCCAGUCUCCAGUGCACACGGAGGGUGGCCCGGGCCCUGUUCCCGCCUGCGGAGAGUCUCGGGCCUUGACCGGGGUGAGGAGCGGGAUGCGGGGCGAGCCCUCCCAAUUG
rnacentral:lncRNA from 1 species